AUGCAAGUGACCACACCUUAUAAAAAACCCUUCCCUUGUCGUGUUAUUCUCCACAUCCCACGUGGCAAUUCAUUAUUGUUCCUUCCAACUUUUGUUUAUGCCAAGUGCAGUACCUUAUCAUUGGAACACCUCAGAUUAAAUCCAACGGCUCACACAACUCCACCUCUCAUUCACAUUAAUCCAACCGCUAUCUGGAAAACUAUACAACUUGCAACUCUCUUUUAUUAUUCCUUCUUCAUCUUCUCUUUUCCAUCACAACUUCUAUACUCUAAUUCUAUUAAUUACACUUUUCUACAAUUUUCCAAAAUCCAACCUAUCUGA